UGAAAGAAAAUUCAUUGAAGAUAGAGUUUAAAAAAUCGUAGAACUGAAGAAGAAAGUCUGUGGUGAUUCAGAUAAAGCAUUUGUUGUUAUUAAUCAAAAGGGCAUUGACCCCUUUUCUUUAGAUGCCCUUGCGAAAGAAGGUAUUGUAGCUCUGUGCAGAGCCAAGAGGAGACACAUGGAAAGGAUGACUCUUGCUUGUAGUGGGAUAGCUCUGAACUCCUUUGAUGACCUGAAUCCUGACUGUUUGGGACAUGCAGGGCUUGUCUAUGAGUAUACACUGGGUGAGGAGAAGUUCACCUUUAUUGAGAAAUGUAACAAUCCCAGUUCUGUCACUUUACUGGUUAAAGGACCAAACAAGCACAU
rnacentral:lncRNA from 1 species